rnacentral:rRNA from 1 species
UACGGAGGAUCCAAGCGUUAUCCGGAUUUAUUGGGUUUAAAGGGUGCGUAGGCGGCCUAUUAAGUCAGGGGUGAAAGACGGUAGCUUAACUAUCGCAGUGCCUUUGAUACUGAUGGGCUUGAAUGUACUUGAGGUAGGCGGAAUGUGACAAGUAGCGGUGAAAUGCAUAGAUAUGUCACAGAACACCAAUUGCGAAGGCAGCUUACUAAAGUAUGAUUGACGCUGAGGCACGAAAAGCGUGGGGAUCAAACAGG